rnacentral:rRNA from 1 species
CUAUACAUGCAAGUCGAACGCACAGCGAAAGGUGCUUGCACCUUUCAAGUGAGUGGCGAACGGGUGAGUAACACGUGGACAACCUGCCUCAAGGCUGGGGAUAACAUUUGGAAACAGAUGCUAAUACCGAAUAAAACUUAGUAUCGCAUGAUACCAGGUUAAAAGGCGCUACGGCGUCACCUAGAGAUGGAUCCGCGGUGCAUUAGUUAGUUGGUGGGGUAAAGGCCUACCAAGACAAUGAUGCAUAGCCGAGUUGAGAGACUGAUCGGCCACAUUGGGACUGAGACACGGCCCAAACUCCUACGGGAGGCUGCAGUAGGGAAUCUUCCACAAUGGGCGAAAGCCUGAUGGAGCAACGCCGCGUGUGUGAUGAAGGCUUUCGGGUCGUAAAGCACUGUUGUAUGGGAAGAAAAGUUAAGGUAGGGAAUGACCUUAGCCUGACGGUACCAUACCAGAAAGGGACGGCUAAAUACGUGCCAGCAGCCGCGGUAAUACGUAUGUCCCGAGCGUUAUCCGGAUUUAUUGGGCGUAAAGCGAGCGCAGACGGUUGGUUAAGUCUGAUGUGAAAGCCCGGAGCUCAACUCCGGAAAGGCAUUGGAAACUGGUUAACUUGAGUGCAGUAGAGGUAAGUGGAACUCCAUGUGUAGCGGUGGAAUGCGUAGAUAUAUGGAAGAACACCAGCGGCGAAGGCGGCUUACUGGACUGUAACUGACGUUGAGGCUCGAAAGUGUGGGUAGCAAACAGGAUUAGAUACCCUGGUAGUCCACACCGUACACGAUGAACACUAGGUGUUAGGAGGUUUCCGCCUCUAGUGCCGAAGCUAACGCAUAAGUGUUCCGCCCGGGGAGUACGACCGCAGGUUGAAACUCAAGGAAUUGACGGGACCCGCACAAGCGGUGGAGCAUGUGGUUUAUUCGAAGCAACGCGAGAACUUACCAGGUCUUGACAUCCUUUGAAGCUUUAGAAAUAGAAGUGUUCUCUUCGGAGACAAG